rnacentral:rRNA from 1 species
ACUGAGUUUACGCUCUAUAACCCUUUGUGAACAUACCUAUAACUGUUGCUUCGGCGGGUAGGGUCUCCGCGACCCUCCCGGCCUCCCGCCUCCGGGCGGGUCGGCGCCCGCCGGAGGAUAACCAAACUCUGAUUUAACGACGUUUCUUCUGAGUGGUACAAGCAAAUAAUCAAAACUUUUAACAACGGAUCUCUUGGUUCUGGCAUCGAUGAAGAACGCAGCGAAAUGCGAUAAGUAAUGUGAAUUGCAGAAUUCAGUGAAUCAUCGAAUCUUUGAACGCACAUUGCGCCCGCCAGCAUUCUGGCGGGCAUGCCUGUUCGAGCGUCAUUUCAACCCUCAAGCUCUGCUUGGUGUUGGGGCCCUACAGCUGAUGUAGGCCCUCAAAGGUAGUGGCGGACCCUCCCGGAGCCUCCUUUGCGUAGUAACUUUACGUCUCGCACUGGGAUCCGGAGGGACUCUUGCCGUAAAACCCCCCAAUUUUCCAAAGGUUGACCUCGGAUCAGGUAGGAAUACCCGCUGAACUUAAGCAUAUCAAUAAGCGGAGGAAAAGAAACCAACAGGGAUUGCCUCAGUAACGGCGAGUGAAGCGGCAACAGCUCAAAUUUGAAAUCUGGCCCUAGGCCCGAGUUGUAAUUUGCAGAGGAUGCUUUUGGUGCGGU